GAUGAAGAACGCAGCGAAAUGCGAUAAGUAAUGUGAAUUGCAGAAUUCAGUGAAUCAUCGAAUCUUUGGACGCACAUUGCGCCCGCCAGUAUUCUGGCGGGCAUGCCUGUCUGAGCGUCAUUUCAACCCUCAUGCCCCUAGGGCGUGGUGUUGGGGAUCGGCCAAAGCCCGCGAGGGACGGCCGGCCCCUAAAUCUAGUGGCGGACCCGUCGUGGCCUCCUCUGCGAAGUAGUGAUAUUCCGCAUCGGAGAGCGAUGAGCCCCUGCCGUUAAACCCCCAACUUUCCAAGGUUGACCUCAGAUCAGGUAGGAAUACCCGCUGAACUUAAGCAUAUCAUAAGCGGAGGA
rnacentral:misc_RNA from 1 species